AGCCUUUGUUUGUGAAUACUAGUGAACACGUGACUAUCUUUGUAUUGUAACGGACUUCAGUUAUCACUGGUAUCAGUUCAAAUUAGUAAAAUUUCAUCAGAUUUUACGAGUACCUAAGUAAUUCAAAAUGCUUCACAAUCGCUUGGUUUCGUGUGGCAGUCUUCUGGUAAAAAGAUUUUCAAUUCUCCCAACGAGAUUAAACAGCACCGAUUGGAGCGAGAAAUAUAACAAGAAGAUGGAAAUUCUGAAAAUAAUGCAUGAUGACCUGAUUAAGUCUACCCCAGAAACAAUUCAGAUUUUAAAAAAUGUAGCCGAAUAUCAAGUCAACUGGGAAACCACACUUGCUGAGCUAGAUGCAGCGAAACAUAAGAUAGCGAAAAUGGAGAAAGACUCGAUUGAACUUGAAAAAAACAAAAAAAGCGUAGCCGAAUGUCAAGCCAGCUGGGAAACCGAAAACACACUUACUGAGCUACGUGCAGCGAAACUUCAGAUAGAGAUAAUGGAGAAAGACCUGAUUGAACAAGGAAAAAACGAAAAGUUUAUUCGAAGAGAUGUCGUCAAGGAAGCGUUGGUCAGCUGCAUUGGUUUUUAUGAAGGAUCAUUGGACGCAUUGGGCGAAGGCAGCUUUUGGAACUGCUAUCGAGGGAAUUCUUCUAAAUGGAAACAACUCCCCGAGGAUCUAAGAAACGAAAUUGAGGAGGCCAUCCGCAGGAUUGAAGUAAAUGCUUAUCAAAUUGCAGAGUGAGCUAUUGAAAGAUGGAAAACUUGCAAAAUGAUAUUUUAUUAACUAUGUAUUUCGAUGGUGAACUUCAGCCCAAGCAGGGUAACAGUAGUAUGAUUUUUUUAUAUGAAUAAGCGUGACAAUUUAGUUUUAUAUAAUGUUGAUUAGGUAUGCGAAUAAAAUAUUUUAAAUUUUUUUCAUAAUUUUAGGUUUAUUAAGUUAUACCUACUAGAGUUGAUCCUGUCUUGAAAAUAAUUCACAUCCAAGUUACAUGCAACUUGCCGUAGGUUUACUUAUUAUACAGGCACAGAAAUCUGGAUAUGCAACCCAAAAUGCCAGAAUCAUAAAUGGCUGAAAGAUGAGCUUAAAAUAAUUUAUAAUGAAUGAAUAAAAAUCAAAAACGAUGAACCUACCUGACUACCUACUUAAAGAAGUUUAUAAACGGACAUUGAAUCACGAAGAAUAUCAUCUUUUAAAGUACCUAUACCAACUUGAUUGCUCGAUAAAUGUGAAGAUUAUUUAUAAAUAAUUCAAAAUGCUUUACCAUCGCUUGGUUUCGUGUAGCAGUCUUCUGGCAAAGAGAUUUUCAAUUGUCCCAUCGAGAUUAAACAGCACCGAUUGGAGCGAGAAAUACAACGAAAAAAUGGAAAUUCUAAAAUCAGUGCAUAAUGACCUGAUUAAAGGGUUCCCUGCAGAAGCAAUUCAGAUUUUAAAAAUUUUAGCCGAAUAUCAACUCAACUGGGAAAAAACACUUGUUGAGCUAGGUGUAGCGAAACAUGAGAUGGCGAAAAUGAAGAAAGACUCGAUUGAACUUGAAAAAAACAGAAAAAGUUUAGCCGAAUGUCAAGUGAACUGGGAAAACACACUUGCUGAGCUAGGUGCAGCGAAACAUAAGAUGGCGGAGAUGGAGAAAGACCUGAUUGAACACGAAAAAAACAAAAGGGAUAUAAAUCGAAGAGAUGCUGCCAUGAAAGCGUUGGUCAAAUGCGAAUUGUGGGACGACUACCGAACGAAUUCUCCGAAAUGGAAACAAUGUAUCCAAAAGUGUAAGAGACGAAAUUGAAGAAGCUCUCUAUGGUAGCGUCCCCCCUCCUUUGAAAAAUGACUGGGACUUUUAAGUUUUACAUCUAGGCUGAAGCGUGCAGGAUUGAAGUGGAUAGGUACUUGUCAAAUUACGUAGUGAGCGAUUGAAAAAAUGGCAAACUUGCAAAAUGAUAUUAGGUAACUAUUUCUAUGGUGAACUUCAGCCCAAACAGGGUAACAGUAGUGUUAUGAUUUUUUUAUUUGACGAUUUAGUUUUAUAAUGCUGAUAAGUGAUCUUAAGGUAUGCGAAUAAAAUAUUUUUAAUUUUUUU